rnacentral:rRNA from 1 species
GGACCAUUCCACGGUUUCUGUGUCGCAGCUAACGCAUUAAGUUCCCCGCCUGGGGAGUACGGCCGCAAGGCUAAAACUCAAAGGAAUUGACGGGGGCCCGCACAAGCGGCGGAGCAUGCGGAUUAAUUCGAUGCAACGCGAAGAACCUUACCAAGGCUUGACAUAUACCGGAAAAGUUCAGAAAUGUUCUCCCCGCAAGGUCGGUAUACAGGUGGUGCAUGGUUGUCGUCGGCUCGUGUCGUGAGAUGUUGGGUUAAGUCCCGCAACGAGCGCAACCCUCGUUCUAUGUUGCCAGCACGUAAUGGUGGGAACUCAUAGGAGACUGCCGGGGUCAACUCGGAGGAAGGUGGGGAUGACGUCAAAUCAUCAUGCCCCUUAUGUCUUGGGCUUCACGCAUGCUACAAUGGCCGGUACAAAGGGCUGCAAUACCGCAAGGUGGAGCGAAUCCCAAAAAGCCGGUCUCAGUUCGGAUUGAGGUCUGCAACUCGACCUCAUGAAGUCGGAGUCGCUAGUAAUCGCAGAUCAGCAACGCUGCGGUGAAUACGUUCCCGGGCCUUGUACACACCGCCCGUCAAGUCAUGAAAGUCGGUAACACCCGAAGCCAGUGGCCCAACCGCAAGGAGGGAGCUGUCGAAGGUGGGGCUG